GAAAAUGGAAGAAGGAUGCUUGGCAGAAGGCAGGAGCAGAGGGUCACUCUAGUGACUUGGAAGAAGUGUUGGAGAGAGCUCUUGCAUGGUGGUAGAACCGAGGACAGCCUAGACCUUCUGAUUGUCAACUCCUUGUUCCAUUGUGUCCAAACCUACAUGUCUGAACUCCUCUCAUCAAAGACUUCUCAAAGUUAUUAAUAACUGGGGAUCACGUAUUCAGUAAUUACACACAUCAGGCUCCAUGCUUUCUGUGCAGUAUGUAAAUUGAUUCAUUGUCAUACUAAUUAUAAAUGGCUAGUAUUAUUGCUGCUUUACAAAUGAGGCAUAUGACACACAGGGAGCUAAAUAAUUUGCCUAAGGUCACCCCACUUGUAAAUGAUGAAGCCAGGACUCAAGGCCAGGUCUGGCCACCCCUGAAUUUAAUAGCUUUAUCCUCUAUAUCUCUGUUUUCUCCCAGACCAAGGUGUCUGUACCUCUCUGCCAACAGAGAAAAGGGUUCAUUCAUUCAUCAAAUGUUUGUUGAGCAUCUAUUGUGACUCAGGCAAUAUCCUAGAUCAAGGAUUGUCAAACUUUUUCUAUAAAGGACAAGAGAGCAAACAUUUUAGGUCUCCUGGGUCAUACGGUCAGUCACUGUGAUUCAACUCUGCUGUUGUAGUACAAGAUUGUGAAAGCAGCCAUAGAUGAUAUGUCAAUGAAUGAGCAUGGUUGUGUUCCAAUAAAAUGUCACUUGCGAAAGCAGGCUGUGGGCUGGGUUUGGGCCAAGAGUUCUAUCCCUGCUCUAGGCACUGGAGUUACAAUAGCAAAAAAUUAAAAUAAAGUAAAAUAAAAACACAAAAAUGCCUGCCUUUGUGGUGCUUCCAUUCCAGAAUGGGGAAGUAAUUGUAUUUCUGUCCCGUUUAUCAUGUAAAAAUUGUCAUAGGAUCUUGGAGUUGCUGAGCACCUAGAGGUGAUCUGUUCAGCAUUUUCCUCCCAGGGCAGCUCUCCACUCAGAACUCUCUUGGCUGGUGAGGGUUCAUUCUGUGUGCCCGGAUCUAGUGUCACCUCACCUUCCAGGGGACCCAUCCUUGUCACAUAGUCCUUGCUUAUCUGUCUUCCUGACAAUUUAACUCACAUCCUACCCUGUUUGGGCAGAGGGCCCCACAUUUUAGCAUAUCAUAAUCACUUUUGGGGCUUGAAACACUUUGAUGGGCUCCACUCUCGAGAUUCUGAUUCAAUAGGUCUGGAGUGAGGCCCAAGAUUUUCCCUUUCUGACAAAUUCCCAGGUAAUUCC
rnacentral:lncRNA from 1 species